CAUGCAAGUCGAACGGCAGCACGGGAGCAAUCCUGGUGGCGAGUGGCGAACGGGUGAGUAAUACAUCGGAACGUGCCCAGUUGUGGGGGAUAGCCCGGCGAAAGCCGGAUUAAUACCGCAUACGACCUGUGGGUGAAAGCGGGGGAUCGCAAGACCUCGCGCAAUUGGAGCGGCCGAUGUCAGAUUAGGUAGUUGGUGGGGUAAAGGCCCACCAAGCCGACGAUCUGUAGCUGGUCUGAGAGGACGACCAGCCACACUGGGACUGAGACACGGCCCAGACUCCUACGGGAGGCAGCAGUGGGGAAUUUUGGACAAUGGGCGCAAGCCUGAUCCAGCCAUGCCGCGUGUGGGAAGAAGGCCUUCGGGUUGUAAACCACUUUUGUCAGGGAAGAAACGGCUUGGUCUAAUAUGCUGAGCUAAUGACGGUACCUGAAGAAUAAGCACCGGCUAACUACGUGCCAGCAGCCGCGGUAUACGUAGGGUGCAAGCGUUAAUCGCAAUUACUGGGCGUAAAGCGUGUGCAGGCGGCUUUGCAAGACAGAUGUGAAAUCCCCGGGCUCAACCUGGGAACUGCAUUUGUGACUGUAUAGCUAGAGUGCGGCAGAGGGGGAUGGAAUUCCGCGUGUAGCAGUGAAAUGCGUAGAUAUGCGGAGGAACACCGAUGGCGAAGGCAAUCCCCUGGGCCUGCACUGACGCUCAUGCACGAAAGCGUGGGGAGCAAACAGGAUUAGAUANNCUGGUAGUCCACGCCCUAAACGAUGUCAACUGGUUGUUGGGUCUUCACUGACUCAGUAACGAAGCUAACGCGUGAAGUUGANCGNCUGGGGAGUACGGCCGCAAGGUUGAAACUCAAAUGAAUUGACGG
rnacentral:rRNA from 1 species